UUGCACGCCCAAUUUUUCAGUUUUUGAUUUGUUAAAAAAGUUUGAAAUAUCCAAUAAAUGUCGUUCCACUUCAUGAUUGUGUCCCACUUGUUGUUGAUUCUUCACAAAAAAAUACAGUUUUAUAUCUUUAUGUUUGAAGCCCGAAAUGUGGCAAAAGGUCGCAAAGUUCAAGGGCGCCGAAUACUUUCGCAAGGCACUGUGUAUAUAUAUAUAUAUAACUUUCAUUUUUCUUUAUUUUUAAAAGAAAUGCCAUGGCGUUCGUGAAGCAACAUAUGACUCGCAAUCUGCAACCAAUACAUUUUUACCUGCGACAUUGUUUUCAAAGUAUAUCAAUGGUCGUGAAAAUGACAAACAUGGCAACUCUACUAUGAGUUGUAUUUCCGUCAUGGCGCAGACCAUAUUAAGAAAUCGCAUGAUAUCAUUCCAUGUCACCCCACCACCUACCAAAGGACUCUUGGGCUCAAUUCUUCACGGCUGACGCCACAUACCUAAACUAUACCGCCGUUUCGGUUAGUUAAAAUGAUUAUUCCGAUAACUUCUGGUUCUGACAUUUUGUGGAAACUGAACUGCGCGUACAUCCUAGUGGGGUGUCUGCUGCCUGUUGUAGACACUCACAACAUUAACUGUAAGGUGAUCCAACAUCCUAACUAUACAACGACCUAUGACCUCCAUGAACUACCUGAAUCUCUGCCUUUGGCCUAUUGCGAGACCCAGUGGUUGGAUGAAAACAUAACUGUUCUUGCCAAUGACAAAGAGAGAGACGAAAACCGUACUUUGGCUCAGACCAGUCACUCCAUCACUAUCUUAGGCUGCCUGGACAGACUGACCUACUCAAUGGACUGCACGCUGACUGUGGCACCAUUUUGGGACGUGCAGUGCCUCAGUGAGUAAACACACACACUAAGAACAAAGCUGCUAGAGGCUGUUGUAUGAAUGAGUGACAGGAUGUGACAUGGGAAGUUUGUCACAGUUGACAGACAGUAUUAGCAGCAGUACUUUUAUUGUGGUGUGAAAGACAAAUUACUGAUUAAUCUCUUUUAUUUUGUGUUCUCCAGCUAACGGCAGUCAUGGAACUUACAGUGCCUUGCGAAAGUAUUUGGCCCCCUUGAACUUUGACCUUUUGCCACAUUUCAGGCUUCAAACAUAAAGAUAUAAAACUGUAUUUUUUUGUGAAGAAUCAACAACAAGUGGGACACAAUCAUGAAGUGGAACGACAUUUAUUGGAUAUUUCAAACUUUUUUAACAAAUCAAAAACUAAAACAUUGGGCGUGCAAAAUUAUUCAGCCCCCUUAAGUUAAUACUUUGUAGCGCCACCUUUUGCUGUGAUUACAGCUGUAAGUCGCUUGGGGUAUGUCUCUAUCAGUUUUGCACAUCGAGAGACUGAAAUGUUUUCCCAUUCCUCCUUGCAAAACAGCUCGAGCUCAGUGAGGUUGGAUGGAGAGCAUUUGUGAACAGCAGUUUUCAGUUCUUUCCACAGAUUCUCGAUUGGAUUCAGGUCUGGACUUUGACUUGGCCAUUCUAACACCUGGAUAUGUUUAUUUUUGAACCAUUCCAUUGUAGAUUUUGCUUUAUGUUUUGGAUCAUUGUCUUGUUGGAAGACAAAUCUCCGUCCCAGUCUCAGGUCUUUUGCAGACUCCAUCCGGUUUUCUUCCAGAAUGGUCCUGUAUUUGGC
rnacentral:lncRNA from 13 species